rnacentral:rRNA from 1 species
CUUUCUUUGCUGGCGACCGGCGCACGGGUGAGUAACACGUAUCCAGCCUGCCCUUUACUCGGGGAUAGCCUUUCGAAAGAAAGAUUAAUACCCGAUAGCAUAAUGAUUCCGCAUGGUUUCAUUAUUAAAGGAUUCCGGUAAAGGAUGGGGAUGCGUUCCAUUAGGUUGUUGGUGAGGUAACGGCCCACCAAGCCUUCGAUGGAUAGGGGUUCUGAGAGGAAGGUCCCCCACAUUGGAACUGAGACACGGUCCAA